rnacentral:lncRNA from 1 species
CCACAUAUAAAUAAAUAAUACUCGAGUCACGAUAACUAUAAAAUUUGUUAUUGUAUCUUGGUCUCCUAAGGACCGUAAUACCUACAAAAUUUAUUAACUAACAUAACCAAACUGAAAGAAUAACAACGAACUAACUAGAAUGAAUAAAGUGUGUCAUGUUACGUCUACUUCAUCAUCAUUUUCUUUAAGAAAAUCAAGGUUGGGCCUGUAAAGUUCAUGCUGCAAGAGAAACACCGAAAUUCAAAUUUUAAUGAGAUGAGGAAUAGGAAAAGAUGGUGAACUUAAAUUGAGAGGGCGACAUUAAUGAAGGAUAAAAACAAAAAUAUAACUAUGAGUAAAUACCUCAAUUGAUUCAUAGAUGUUAAAUGCCAACAAUCGUGAUUCUAACCUGUUUAAAAAUAACACAAAAACCUCAGAAAAAAUUGAAAGAAAAUUGCAACACGAUAAUCAACAGAAAUAAAUAAGGAAUCUCGUGAAUAAUAGCUCAACCACUUAGGCAAUUAGUCUCACAGAAAUCUAACAUACAUUCAUAUAUAGCACUAGCUCUCACUUUCUCACUUUUUUAGGGUUCCUUCAAUUUAUAUGUGCACGAGUUUUGCCACAAUUUUAGGUUCUCAAAAAUAAACUUAAGAAAAGAUUAUGAAUUUAGCACCUAAUAGAAAAUUACACCAAGUCCUACCCCUAGUAGAUUUAUGAAUUUGGCACCUAAUAUAAACUUAUGAAUUUAGCACUUAAUAGAAACUUACGAAAAGAUUUAUUCUAAAAACACCAAGUCCUACCCCUAGUAGCUUCAGGUAUAAUCUUUUUCAUGUAAAAGAUGCUAAUUUUUUAAGGAAUGCAAAAAAAAAAAAAUAUCAACUAACGCGCGUGUUCUAAUGACCAGUACAAACUGAACCAAACCUUGAGGGAGACAACAUCAGUAGCAGAUGCCUGGAGACUUAUCUCAUCACCCCCACCUUUGGUGGAAUCCAGUAAUUGUCUUUGCGUAAUGUUCUCGUUUAAUGCUGGCAUAUUAGCUUGCUCUGUUCUCAUUUUAGCUAACAUGCCACGGAGCUCCUCAUUUUGUUUCAGACAAUCUUUCACCUGCAUGAAUUAAACAUUGGGCAGAUUAUAUAUUCAAGAAUGAAAAUAGAAACACUCCACAGAACUCCUAUAAAAUUGAUGGGACGUAAAAAUUUAAAGAUCUGCAAACCCCUACUAAAUGCUUCAUUGAAUAAAAUCAUCGUUUGCAUGGACUGGAACCCAGGCAUCCAUGAUAGUAGUGCCACAAGGGCCAUGACAAUCACUCCAAACAUUAUAUCAUACAAGCGAGCCAAGGAAACAAUAGUUCCCCAAACCAUAGUAUUUUGCAAAAAGAGUCGCAGUACUUGGGCAAUCAAAAUAAACCCUCACCCUGUGGGAAUAAAUGCCAACAGACUCGUUAAAACAUCUAGGAAUUGAAAGUCUGAACUGGAGCAAGGCAAUAAUAAGAAGCACAACAACAAUUAUAAGGAGGAACUGAACCAAUCGACAGUAGAUAUGUUCUUUUGCAGCAUAUCUGUCCCGGGCAUAUGCUACAGUAAUAUAAACUGUAAGAGCCACCACCACAUAGAUCCAGGAAAGCAAGUAAACAAAAAUACUAUUGUCCCCGUCAUCAAUAUCCAGCUGGUAUACAAUCCCAUACUGGAAAAAGAAAAAGUGGAGGUCUAAAAUAAUUUCCAAAACCUUUCCCCAAAGACCCAUCGUCCUUAGAUGGUCCUGCUCCUUAUACCACCAUUACAAAGAACAAUAAGUUAAAGAAAACCGACUCAAAACAGCUGAUCCUGAAAAGUUACAGUUAUUAAAUGAACAUGAAACAAAAGGUGUUUGCCCAAGUCUGAACUCUGAAGUACUUCAUCAAAUGGAAAUAUAGAAAUAUUAAGCACAGGUUACAACCUUUGAAAGUAAAAAAGUAGCCAUUAUGCAAUUUAGAAAUAAGUUAAAUUCCAAUUUAAAGCCAUCAUUAACAACAUAAUAAUUCAUAAGAUGGAACAGCGGUAAUGUCAUGAACUAAGGUCAUGGAUAAUUGUCAUGUUUGUUUCAACUGGAAAAAAAUAGUUUCUGCUAAAGUUAUAAUAACUGGCAACUUAUCAUUGAAAUUAUCAAGGAGUUCAUAGUUAGCAAAACCUUGAUGAUGAAAGCUCAUAAGCUCAUCUAAAGCUCAACCUUGAGCUAAAAAUUCAAGCCUAAACAAAGCCUAGAAAUAUUAAGCUUAAGCUGGCUAUUAAUUAUUGGUGGUUUGCCUGCAGCAGCAACUAAAGCAAGGUAGGAUUAAGUUUAGGGAAUGCUAUAGCUUCCAACAACUAAUCCUACAAAAAACUCAAAUUCAUAAUGCUGGAGAGUAUGUAGUUUUUUUUGUUUUGAGAUUCAUAUACUAAUUCUUUCUUGUUACAGAUAAUUUUCCUAGCAUUUUCUUUGUUGGCAUAAUAAGGGAUUGAUGCAGGACAGGAUUUUGAAGCUUGAAUAAAUAGGAAAAACAAGAAAAUUGCAACUACUGUGAAGCUCCGCAGUCCUAUGCUUAGAAUCCUCAACCGCGGAAGAGUAAAUUGAUUGCAAUCAAUAAAUAAUCUGAAUAUAAAUAAUAAACUCUUUCCAACUUGUGGGGAUUACAUUGGUGAUAUAAGAAAGGUCCCAACUGAUAUACAAAUUGAAACCUAAAACAGAAUCAAACUCUAAAAUAAUAAUAAAACCACUAACUACUGGGACUUUAAAUAAAUAAUACUUUUAAUAACUAUCUUAAUAAUAACUAAUGAUUAGUUACAGAAUAAUUUCAUCUUCAAUAUAAAAAGAACUUUCAGUUCUUUUAUCUUUGUUGUCCCCAUCAUCUUGUAUAUAAUAUAUUACUUACAUGUGAAUUGUAACAUACGAACACAUGGAUACGCAAUGACUGAUAUGUGUGUAUUAAAUCUCAAAUUGGACAAAUUGUAAACUUUAAUAAUUUUGUCCAAGAAGAGCAUUCAGAUUCAACUUUCUACUAGCAAUCCUCAACCUCAUACUAUUGCAAUUUGCAAAUGUUGCAGCAUAACGAAAAAUAGUUUGAAAAGAAAGACCCAUUAGACAGGGUUAUAGGGCAUACUGUCAUUCUAUUGGUUACUGUGUGAUUGCGCAUCUUUGAGAAAACCUGCCCUUUCCAAUUGAUGCCAUUGCCAACAUGAAAGCCGCCUCUUGAAACAACCUAAAAAGUUUCCCAACUUCAUGUUCUAAUCGCUCUAUGGCUAAAACAUUGAUAAAAUUUAAACAAAAAGUUUAUAUCAAUUCCCCUCACUAGUAAGAAAGACACACGAGAGCUCACCUCUCUAUACAAGUUAAAGAGAUCAAGCCGUUUCGCAUUGAGUAUAACAUAUGGGAAUUCGGCAAGUCCACCUUGAGGAAUGAGACGAGUAUGGCCUCUAAGGAUUAGAAACUGCAUUACAUCCUUAAGAAACUCCUCCUGCGUCAUCAACAUGAUGAAGCUGAAGUUCAGAAUUACAUGGAUACAUAAAUCUAAUCAAAUGAUAUAGGGUUAAAGCCAAAACUUAUUAUUUGCAUAUACCCUUUCCCAUAUAUAUAUAUAUAUAUAUAUAUAUAUAUAUAUAUAUAUAUACNNNNNNNNNNNNNNNNNNNNNNNNNNNNNNNNNNNNNNNNNNNNNNNNNNNNNNNNNNNNNNNNNNNNNNNNNNNNNNNNNNNNNNNNNNNNNNNNNNNNGGCCAACAAUACUCAUCUGACAUAAUCAUUCAAUCAUUUCAAUAAUUAUUAGUCCCAAUUAUUUGACUUUUAGUUCAACAUCUUAUUAUUUGGAUAUUUCAAAUGAGUAGGCUGCAUGUUCAUCCAAUAUUUUUAACAUGCAUUCAAGUUUUUAACAAAUUAACUUCCUUUUGUUUUUCCUCUUCAUUCCUACUUCUUACCAUAUCUAAAUUUUUUUGUUGUACUUUUAUGGUGACAAAUUUCAAGACACAAGUCUUUUCCUAUGUACUCCAACACUGGGAAAAGCAGUUCUAUUUCUGACAUUUUGUUUUGGUUUGAAAUUAAAUUUCGUUCUAAUCUAAUAUGCUUAAACUCUUUAAUUAUCAUCAUAUGUAGUAUAUAAAUCCAUCCCAAGCCUCGGUUUCGUCUAAUAUUUUGUUUUUAAUCAAAACAGUCCAUUGGGAGAUUUUAUCAAAUACUAUGUGUGCACUGUUUUGAAACCCUCGUGUCAUAGCCAUUUAUUUGAGCUAUCAUCCCAUUUUACCCUCCUUAUAACACCACACCACCAAGCCUAUACCCCCUUGCUUCUAAUUCAGACCAUAACAAGCAAUUUCAUAAUCAAAUUCAUAUAUAAAACCAACUAAUUAACAAACUAGUUAGUUUACUAACUUUUCAAAGUUUUAAUUUCAUAUAUCUCCAACAUAACCCAUACGAAUAGCAUCCCAAUUUAUAUUGUUUAUAAAAUAUAAACAUAUCCAAUACCCACCUCAAUUAGCUUACCAAAUUAAAUUGUUAACAAUUCUCAAUUUGAAACUAACCAACUUCAUUUGCAUAAAAACAUAAUUAGUUUACCUUUGCUUGCUUGCAAAAUUUGAUUGUAAUUCAACUCCUUGUAUGCUUAAAUCCUUCUUUUCUUUUUAUUGUUUCUGUGUUUUGCAGGAAGCAUGUUUGCAUAUGCAAUUUCCUAGGGUGCCUAGUUGUUAAUCUUUAUAUGAAGUGGUAACAAGUAUUAAAGAAAAUACCUUCGAACAAAUAAAUCAUACAAAUCAUUUCAGUAAGUACUGAACAAAGUUGUUGAAAAAAAAUACCUUCGAACAAAUUGACGGGUCUUUGGGUCUUCACAGUUAGGGCUUUUGCAAUUAGGACAGAGAGAGCAUUUUGAUGCGAAGAUGAAGUUGGGAGGAAAACUUUGGGAUUAAUGAUAAUCCCUUUAGCCGUAUGAAACAUGAUUCACACAAAUUGAUAGAGAAAAANNNNNNNNNNNNNNNNNNNNNNNN